CAGCAGCCGCGGGAAUACAGAGGGUGCGAGCGUUAAUCGGAUUUACUGGGCGUAAAGCGUGCGUAGGCGGCUUCUUAAGUCGGAUGUGAAAUCCCUGAGCUUAACUUAGGAAUUGCAUUCGAUACUGGGAAGCUAGAGUAUGGGAGAGGAUGGUAGAAUUCCAGGUGUAGCGGUGAAAUGCGUAGAGAUCUGGAGGAAUACCGAUGGCGAAGGCAGCCAUCUGGCCUAAUACUGACGCUGAGGUACGAAAGCAUGGGGAGCAAACAGGAUUAGAUACCCGUGUAGUCCUGUCUCUUAUACA
rnacentral:rRNA from 1 species